AGAGUUUGAUCAUGGCUCAGAACGAACGCUGGCGGCAGGCCUUAUACAUGCAAGUCGAGCGCAUCCUUCGGGAUGAGCGGCGGACGGGUGAGUAACGCGUGGGAAUGUGCCCUUCUCUACGGAAUAGCCACUGGAAACGGUGAGUAAUACCGUAUACGCCCUAAGGGGGAAAGAUUUAUCGGAGAAGGAUCAGCCCGCGUUAGAUUAGGUAGUUGGUGGGGUAACGGCCUACCAAGCCUACGAUCUAUAGCUGGUUUUAGAGGAUGAUCAGCCACACUGGGACUGAGACACGGCCCAGACUCCUACGGGAGGCAGCAGUAGGGAAUCUUGGACAAUGGGGGCAACCCUGAUCCAGCCAUGCCGCGUGAGUGAAGAAGGCCCUAGGGUCGUAAAGCUCUUUCGCCUGUGAUGAUAAUGACAGUAGCAGGUAAAGAAACCCCGGCUAACUCCGUGCCAGCAGCCGCGGUAAUA
rnacentral:rRNA from 1 species